rnacentral:lncRNA from 10 species
AGGGGUGCCUGGCUCAAGGGUAGCCAAUUGAUUGGAAGGCCAGUGACAAGGUCCCAAGGUGGCCCAAGACAAAGAAAAAACCAAAAAGAGGAGUUGGGUAAAAGAGGAGUUCUUAGCUCAUUCAUUUCUUAGCAUUUGUAUUUGUUUCCUGGGGAUGCCCCCGUCAAAGCCCCACAAACCAAGUGACAGAAACAACAGAAGUGUGUUGGCUCUCAGUUCUGGAGGCAGAAGUCAGAAAUCAAGGGUCAGCAGGGCUGGCUCGCUCUGAGGACGAAUCUGUUCCCAGCUGCUCUGUUGGCCUCAGGUGUUCCUUGGCCGGCAGAGGCUCCUUUCCCUGUUUUUUUCUUCGCAGUGUCUACCCUCUGCACAUGUCUGGAUCCAAAUUUCCCCUUUUUCUGAGGACAGCAGUCAUAUUGCAUUAGGGCUUCCCUAAGGACCUUAUCACAUUCACAGGUCACAUUCACAGGUGCAGCUUUUUUGGGGACACAAUCCAACCCAUAAUAACAUGGAACUGGGACAGGAGGAGAAGAUGGGGCAGGUGUUGGGGCAGCUGUGGUGAAGAGAAGCUGGGGGGCCCAUCGCGGACGUGUGGAAGCUGAGGCGAUGGGGGAUGAGAAUGGGCAAGGGAGUGGAGUCCUGAGGGACAGCUUGUGCUGCCCAUGAGAGACAGAGCACACAAGACCCAACAAUGCCCAGGCCCCCCUCCCUCAAGCCUGGAUGGUACGGCUCAGCCUGUUUCCCACGAGCCCCCUGUCCUCCCAUGAGCCUGUCCAGGCCCACCCAUCUGGCCACGCCCACUCGCUGUCCUAAGGGACCUUAAUGAGCUCCCACUCCUUGCAGCGAAGCUCUCCUGGUUUCCCUGCUUCCUUUCUGAAUCCUCCCAGGUCUCCUUGAUGACGCAUUAUUCUUGGCCCACCUGUUUCUCUGGGCUCUGCCCUCUUCUCACGUUCUCCCUGGCUGGUUCUCAUCUUCUCCCGUGUGGGGCCUGCUACCUGUGAUAAGCUGAGGACACUCAGAUGGUGUCUAUCCAGCCCAGGCCCCUUCCUGAGCCCCUGCUCCCUUCUGGGUACCUCCCCCUGGAGUCCUCAGGCCCCACAUGCCCAACCCAGCAUGCGUGUCCGGCUUUGGCACCACCACCCUCCCCUGGCCUGGUUUGCAGCUCCUCUUCUGCCUGUCAGUCACCCAGGCCAGACCCUUGGGGUCAGCAUAGACUUCCCAGCCCACUCUCCAGCUCAGGGCCAGCCUGAGCCUGACAAAGCUCUUUCUCUUAUUUUAAACUUUUUUUUUUUUCCCCCAUCACCCACGCUGGAGUGUAGUGAUAUAAUCAUAGCUCAUUGCAGCCUCCAGCUCCCAGGCUCAAGCAAUCCUCCCUCCUCAGCCUCUCGAGUAGCUGGGACUACAGGGGUGCAUCACCAUGCCCAGCUCAUUUAAAAAAAUUUUUUUGUAGAGAUGAGGUCUUGCUAUGUUGCCCAGGCUGGCCUUGAACCCCUGGCCUCAAGCAAUCCUCCCGCUUCAGCCUCCCAAAGUGCUGGGAUUAUACGUGUGAGCCACCAUGUCUGGCCUCUCCUCCCCACCCCCACAGGCCCACUAUCUUUUUGUUGUUAUAGUUGCUUUUCAAAUUGUGGUAAAAUACACAAAACAUAAAAUUUGCCAUUUUAACCAUUUUUAGUUGCACAGUUCUGCGGCAUUAAGUACAUUCCUGUUGUUGUGCAACCGUCACUACUAUCCCUCUCCAGAACUUUUUCAUUUUCUCAGACUAAAAACUCUGUCCCUAUUAAACACUAACUCCCCUUUCUCUCCUCCCCCAGCCCCUGGCAACCACAUUCUCCUUUCUGUCUAUGCGAAUUGGACUACUCCGGGGGCCACCGAUGACUGGAGUCAUGCUGUGUUGUCUCUUUGUGACUGGAAUCCUGUCUCUUUAACAUCCUUGGAUCUGUCCCUCCUCUCCCUUCUCACGGCACUGCCUCUUAUGAUCUCAGUGAGUACAGUGGUCUCCAAACUAGUCCCCUGCCUCAGUUCUCCCUCCUUCCUAUCCUCACUCAACUCAGCCUCCAAAUGAUCUUGGUGAAAAUCAGUCCUCAUGCUACUCCCAAGCUGAAAACUCCAACUGCUUCCCAAGCUCCAACUCCUAAGCUCCAACUGCUUCCCAAGCUCCAACUGCUUCCCAUGGAUGGAUAGAGAGCAUGUCUUUAAAGCGCACCUCACCACACAGGCUCCCGGCACCCCUGGUUGGGAUAAUGCCCCCCUCUGCUCCCACACCUCUGUAGGAAGCUCUAAAGAAGCAGCGCUGCCCCUGCCUAGCGGAGGAGACUGGGACUCCCCACAUCUCUCUGUGUUCCCAGAUUGAGCCGGGCAAGAUCACAUCUGACAUCUGCACAUCUCAGCGCCCAGCCCCUGCCUGGCUCAGAGUGAAGUGUCUUCCAAUCCAUUGAAAUUUCUAGUCCCGGGGUCUCGAGGACACUAGGGCCACUGUGCAAUGGCAGAAGGAGCAUUGCCAUAGAAGUCAGGGGGCCUGGUUACAAGUCCUGACUUUAGUUGAGGACCUGCCAUAUGACCUUGAGCAAACUGCUGUACUUCUCUGGAUCUCAGUUUCUACAACCUAAUUCACUGGGUGAGUAUUUACUGGGUACCCACUAUGGGGAGGGCAUGCUGGGUCUUUUUGGGAGAGACAGAAAUUAAUAAGAAGUCCUAGCUCUCAGGCGCUUAUAAUUAACAUGGGGAGAUAAGACUCACACAGAGAUCCUGGGAUAAUGUCACACCCGUCCUCUCUUCAUCCACCACCCCUGGAGCAGAACAGAUGCCCUGGGCCCUUAGUUUCCUUUACAGGUGAGGCCCCAUCUUGGGUCAGCCUGGUUAAAGAUGAGAGCUUGAACUAGGGGUCAUGCAAACCUGGGCUGAAAUCCCUACCCCUGGCUCUAGCUGACUGGGCAGCCUCAGGCAUACCACUUUGUGCCUCUGAGAUUCGGGGUUUCUUCUGCAAAGUGAGAGCAGGACACGGACUGAAUGUUCUCCCAAGGGGUACUGUAAAGGGGACAUGAGAGAAGGGAUGAUACAGCUCGAUAACCGGUUUCCUUCACCUUCCUUCAGGCCCAGCCUGCAGCCUGCAAGCACCGGAUGAGUGGACGUGGCUGAGCAGCCAUGAGAAAGAUGUGGGGCUCUCCGGUGACUGUAGACCCAGCAUAAAUCAACAGUUCAAGGUGCUCAUCCCCAAAGCCAUGGUGAGACCUUAGCUGCUGUAAUAAAAGUGUAGUGCCAAAGUAAGGGCAAUGACAGUCUUGCUUGGUUUUAUGCUGGAGCUCAACUCUGGGCCACACUCUUUUGUGGGGGGUGGGUGGUAAUUAUCUUUUUUAAACAAGACACUGGCUAUAUACAGUCAAGUGUGCAAGGCUUAAGUAUACAACUCAUGUAAUUUUCCCACAUUUAUAUACCUAUGUAGACAUUCAAAUGAAGAUACUAAACAUUUCCAGCCCCCAAGAAAACUUCCUUAAAUUCCCUCCUGGUCAAUCUCCCUCAAAAGUAACUAUUUAUAAUAUAUAUAAAAUAAUAUAUUUAUAGUACUAUUCUGACCUUUAAGACUGUAGAUUAGUUUUGGCUUUUUGAACAUUGUAUGGAAACAUAUAGUGGAUGUGUUUUUUGGGGUUUUUUUUUUUUGCAUCUGGUUUCUUUCAUUCAACAUUGUAUCUGUGAGAUUCACCUGUGCUACUGUGUGUAGUAACAGUUUGUUCUUUCUCAUUGAUGUGUAGUAUUCCAUUAUCUGAAAUAUACCAUAAUUUAUUUAUUUACUCUAC